rnacentral:rRNA from 1 species
UACGAAGGGGGCUAGCGUUGCUCGGAAUCACUGGGCGUAAAGCGCACGUAGGCGGCUUCUUAAGUCAGGGGUGAAAUCCUGGAGCUCAACUCCAGAACUGCCUUUGAUACUGAGGAGCUUGAGUCCGGGAGAGGUGAGUGGAACUGCGAGUGUAGAGGUGAAAUUCGUAGAUAUUCGCAAGAACACCAGUGGCGAAGGCGGCUCACUGGCCCGGUACUGACGCUAAGGCGCGAAAGCGUGGGGAGCGAACAGG